AAAAAACUCAGUGUUAGGUCCGUAUUGUGAUGGAACAAGAAUCCGAUUAGGGAAAUGCCAGACUGAUAAGAGUCAAGAGGAACUGGAACGAUGGUACGCGGAUGUGAAUGCAGAAAUAUGCCGGAAGGAGUUGGAAUAAUAAUUACUCCAAUAUAACAUUCGUAAGUCAGCCACAUAGACCAUGUUACUUAAAUUGCAAAACUACAACAGGUGGGAG